rnacentral:lncRNA from 1 species
GUGCAUAAAUGAUGUUGUAGGAAAAGAAUGAAAGAUUCAAAAAGAUGAGAGCAAGUCAAAUCAUGUUGCAUACAACAAGUAGAAAGGGUUUUGCUCGCUUAGAAGCUGAAAUGGUAAAAAAUUGUUAAAUUAAAGUUAUAUAUGUUUUAAAAAUUAUAAAUGUUAUACAAACUACCACACAUGAAAUGUAAAAUGAAGCAUGCUGAAAGUGAAGAUCCUGAUUUGGUAACGAGAGACAAUGUUUAUAUUCGAGGGCAUACGAGAAAAAAUGGUGAACCUAUUAAUGAAUCAGUUGGGGAAACAUUGGUAACAAUAUAGCUUUUAGUAAUUUUUUAUCAUUUAAAGUUUAUAUUAGGUAAUUUUAGCUCAUUAAUGUAUUUCCUCAUAUCAGAAUAAAAUAAAAGCAUAUUCAGAGACGAUUUUCUCUCCAAGCAAACACUCACUUGAAGGUGAUGGUGUUGCAAAAGUACUUGGUCCAGAACGUCCAGGAAAGGUAAGAGGUCUUGGUUUCGGUGCGACUCCUUCAAAGUAGAAUGCUUUGGUACACAAUCAUAACUUGCAAACUCAAGUUCAAGAGUUGAGGGAUGAAAUUAAAGAAUUAAAGGCUCUGUUUCAAGUGAAGAGUAAAAGUGCUGAACAAGAAGAUAAUGUAAGUGGAAAUCUAGAAUCAAUGAAUGUUAUUUUAAAUUACAUAUACUUUCUAUAUUCAAAAAAAUAAAUUGUACAACUGAAUAUUAAUUUUACAAUCUAGAGAUAGAAGCUUGAAUGGUCUAGAUAACCUUCAAAGUAAGAAGUGCAAAUUGUUAUCUUGGUUUGGGAAAGCUGGUAUUGUUGCAAAAGGUGAAAUCACAUCAACAAAUCCAAAUGAUCUAGUGCAUCAUGUACCCCUUGGUAAUGAAUGUUGGAGAGUUUGGGUUAAUGAAGUGAUCGAUAAUGUUAGCUUAUAUCGUCCCACGCGUGAGCUUUUUCUUUUGGAAGAUGCAUUAGGAAGUACAAUUGCAUGGCCAAGUAGGUAUAUCGAAGUGGAUUUGCUGUAAUCACAACGAAUGUAUGCUUAACUUCUUUUCUAUUUUAAUUCCAUUUACCUUUAUGUUCGGUCUCUAUUGAAAAUUGGGUUGUUUAAUAUAUUUUUGAUUUGGAUGCUUAUUAAUUAUAUCCUUAUUAUUUUGUGGUGUGCAGGGGAUCCAUAUUUUGUGGGGUAGCUAAAUUAUAGGUCAAAGAAGUGAAAUUUGAUAGGUUUAAUAAUUUUUUGUUAUAUGACGGAACCUCAAUAUCCACGGGCUUAUUAGUUGAAUGGCGAUUGGCCCAUACAAUAGUAGUCGAAAUUUUUUUAGAAUUGUUUAGAUGAAUUUCACUUUGGCAUAUUGUAUUGAACCGUAG